rnacentral:rRNA from 1 species
GAUAGCUGGUUCUCUCCGAAAUAGCUUUAGGGCUAGCCUCAAGUGAUGAUUAUUGGAGGUAGAGCACUGUUUGGACGAGGGGCCCCUCUCGGGUUACCGAAUUCAGACAAACUCCGAAUGCCAAUUAAUUUAACUUGGGAGUCAGAACAUGGGUGAUAAGGUCCGUGUUCGAAAGGGAAACAGCCCAGACCACCAGCUAAGGUCCCAAAAUAUAUGUUAAGUGGAAAAGGAUGUGGCGUUGCCCAGACAACUAGGAUGUUGGCUUAGAAGCAGCCAUCAUUUAAAGAGUGCGUAAUAGCUCACUAGUCGAGUGACACUGCGCCGAAAAUGUACCGGGGCUAAACAUAUUACCGAAGCUGUGGAUUGUCCUUUGGACAAUGGUAGGAGAGCGUUCUAAGGGCGUUGAAGCAUGAUCGUAAGGACAUGUGGAGCGCUUAGAAGUGAGAAUGCCGGUGUGAGUAGCGAAAGACGGGUGAGAAUCCCGUCCACCGAUUGACUAAGGUUUCCAGAGGAAGGCUCGUCCGCUCUGGGUUAGUCGGGUCCUAAGCUGAGGCCGACAGGCGUAGGCGAUGGAUAACAGGUUGAUAUUCCUGUACCACCUAUAAUCGUUUUAAUCGAUGGGGGGACGCAGUAGGAUAGGCGAAGCGUGCGAUUGGAUUGCACGUCUAAGCAGUAAGGCU